AAAUCCAUAGGCCCCAUCCUCUUGGCUGGGGACCUGUCUUGGGCCCUCGCCUCAUGGCGUGGUCUGAAUGUCAUUGGUCUCAUCCGUGGACGAGUCCCUGUAGGGCGAGCCAUGGCUGGACCUUAAGCAACAUCUGA
rnacentral:misc_RNA from 1 species